rnacentral:rRNA from 1 species
UAAGGAAUAUUGGGCAAUGGAGGCAACUCUGACCCAGCCAUGCCGCGUGCAGGAAUAAGGCCCUAUGGGUCGUAAACUGCUUUUGUACGGGAAUAAUUGUCAAUACGAGUAUUGGCUUGAAGGUACCGUAAGAAUAAGGAUCGGCUAACUCCGUGCCAGCAGCCGCGGUAAUACGGAGGAUCCAAGCGUUAUCCGGAUUCACUGGGUUUAAAGGGUGCGUAGGCGGAUUGAUAAGUCAGUGGUGAAAUCCUGCAGCUUAACUGCAGAACUGCCAUUGAUACUGUUAGUCUUGAAUUUGAUUGAAGUGGCUGGAAUGUGUCAUGUAGCGGUGAAAUGCUUAGAUAUGACACAGAACACCGACAGCGAAGGCAGGUCACUAAGUCAACAUUGACGCUGAGGCACGAAAGCGUGGGGAUCAAACA